CACGUAGGGCGCAAGCGUUGUCCGGAAUUAUUGGGCGUAAAGAGCUCGUAGGCGGUCUGUUGCGUCCGCUGUGAAAACUCGGGGCUUAACCCCGAGCCUGCAGUGGAUACGGGCAGACUAGAGGUAGGUAGGGGAGAAUGGAAUUCCCGGUGUAGCGGUGAAAUGCGCAGAUAUCGGGAGGAACACUGGUGGCGAAGGCGGCCUGCUGGGAUCGAGCUGACGCUGAGGCGCGACAGCGUGGGGAGCAAACAGG
rnacentral:rRNA from 1 species